rnacentral:rRNA from 1 species
AUACGAAAGGUGCAAGCGUUGUUCGGAAUUACUGGGCGUAAAGCGCGCGUAGGCGGAUUGGAAAGUUGGGGGUGAAAUCCCAGGGCUCAACCCUGGAACUGCCUCCAAAACUAACAGUCUAGAGUUCGAGAGAGGUGAGUGGAAUUCCAAGUGUAGAGGUGAAAUUCGUAGAUAUUUGGAGGAACACCAGUGGCGAAGGCGGCUCACUGGCUCGAUACUGACGCUGAGGUGCGAAAGCGUGGGGAGCAAACAGGAUUAGAAACCCUAGUAGUCC